GUCUACGGCCAUGACGCCCCGAACAACCCGAUCCCGUCUGAUCUCGGACGCUAAGCAGGGUCGGGCCUGGUUAGUACUUGGAUGGGAGACCACCUAGGAAGACCAGGUACUGUAGGCG
rnacentral:rRNA from 1 species